GCAAUAGUGGUUUAGUGGUAAAAUGUAAGUUGAGUCAAAGUCAGUAAAAGAAUUAAAUGAAUUGACCAACAUAGUCGUCGUUGCCAUCGACGAGCCCCGUGUUCGAUUCACGGCUGUUGCA